rnacentral:rRNA from 1 species
GUCCACGCUGUAAACGAUGAAUACUAGACGUAGUGGGACUUGACCCCUGCUGUGUCGAAGCUAACGCGAUAAGUAUUCCGCCUGGGAAGUACGGUCGCAAGACUAAAACUCAAAGGAAUUGACGGGGGCCCGCACAAGCAGUGGAUCAUGUGGUUUAAUUCGAAGCAACGCGCAGAACCUUACCUGGGUUUGACAUCCCUUGACCGAUACAGAGAUGUAUAAUUUGUAGCAAUACAACAAGGAGACAGGUGCUGCAUGGCUGUCGU